rnacentral:rRNA from 1 species
CCUACGGGUGGCAGCAGUGGGGAAUAUUGCACAAUGGGCGCAAGCCUGAUGCAGCCAUGCCGCGUGUGUGAAGAAGGCCUUCGGGUUGUAAAGCACUUUCAGCGGGGAGGAAGGCGUUAAGGUUAAUAACCUUGGCGAUUGACGUUACCCGCAGAAGAAGCACCGGCUAACUCCGUGCCAGCAGCCGCGGUAAUACGGAGGGUGCAAGCGUUAAUCGGAAUUACUGGGCGUAAAGCGCACGCAGGCGGUCUGUCAAGUCGGAUGUGAAAUCCCCGGGCUCAACCUGGGAACUGCAUUCGAAACUGGCAGGCUAGAGUCGUGUAGAGGGGGGUAGAAUUCCAGGUGUAGCGGUGAAAUGCGUAGAGAUCUGGAGGGAUACCGGUGGCGAAGGCGGCCCCCUGGACAAAGACUGACGCUCAGGUGCGAAAGCGUGGGGAGCAAACAGGAUUAGAUACCCCUGUAGUC